GCUUGGAUGGCUCAGUUGGUUAGAGCGCAGGUCUCAUAGCAAUAUGACCGCAACUAGCGGGUAAUCCUGAGGUCAUGAGUUCGACCCUCAUUCCGAGCA
rfam:Phlebia centrifuga strain FBCC195 PHLCENscaffold_1908, whole genome shotgun sequence.